CCAUGGCACAUGGAAGUUCCCAGGCUAGGGGUCAAGUUGGAGCUGUAGCUGGCAGCCUAUGCCACAGCAAUAUCAGCUGCAAACCGCAUCUUGAUCUACACCACAGCUCAUGGCAAUGCUGGAUCCUUAACCCACUGAGGGAAGCCAGGGAUCAAACCCACAUCCUCUUGGAUACUAGUCAGGUUUGUUGAUCACUGAGCCACAAUUGGAACUCCUCUUUGGAUUUUUUAAUAUAUUUAUUAUAAUUAUUUUAAUAUGCAUAUCUUCUAAUUAAAGUUGAUUGCAUCUGUGCAUCUAUUAAUAUGGACUUUUUUUGACCCUCAAUUUUGGGUCACAUUUUAUUGUGUCUUCUUUUUUCUAGUACUCUAUGCUUAUAUACUGAUAAUUAAGAAUGGCAUUUUGUAGAAACUGUAUUCUCUUAUUUUCUUCAAAAGAGGACUAAGUUUUCACCUUCCAUGUAGUUAUGUUACUGAUGAAACACUUUGUUACAGUGGACACUAAAAUUUAGGCUUUAUUAGGUUAGAUGUCUUUUAAACUUGCCUUUAAUUCUAAGACAUAGUUCUGGGUUGUGAAAUCUUUCUCUUAGGGAUGACUUUUAUGAGGCUUCAGUGGAAGCUUUAGGUAUUUCCUGAGGCCCUUUAAGUUGGUGGGUCUUGAAUUCACCAGCAUCUCUCAGUUGCUGAAAUCUUGCUCUGCUCUUAUUGCCUUCUUUCAGUCUUGCUUCUUUCUGCUGAGUUUCUAAAGUUUUGUUUUUGUUUCCUGUACCUUGAAGACCAACGGCAAUGCUUCUGUUUUUUGGGGGGUGCUUAUCCUGCAGAACUGAAAAUACACAAGGCAGAUAGGAGCUGAAUGUUAGGUAAGGAAGAUCUGGGUCUGGAACUCAAAAUUGCUCUCAGAGAGCUAUGUAUUCCAGGUUCACCUGUAUGUGGGUUCUGACAUUAAAAAGUAGUGUUUUCAGACAGUAAUAAUUUUUAUAUUUUUAGUAUGGUUAUUCAUUAUAUAUGGAUUAUUCAUACCUAGGCUCUAGAAUUUCUUGGGAUUUUCAGGUUUCAGAUGCUAGCUAUAUUAAUAAGCAAAGUUCCAUUUUAUUAUGUAAAAUCUCUUUCUUUAUAUCCCAUGGUUUAUUUCAUGAUGUCUUUUAUUUCAUAAAGUUUUCUAUUGACAAAAAUAUUUAUGUAUCUGUUUCAUUUUAUAGAAAUUCUCAAUUAACUUUUCUAAGUUUGAGUAAAAUUGACACAAAGAGAUAAAUCACAUGAACAAUAUAUAAUUGAUAUCAAUUAUUUUGUAGGGUUGACAUUGUUAUUUUCUAGCACCACUAUCAGUCAUUCUAGUACUAUAGAAUUUCUGUAAUAAUAAUGCUGCUAGAAAUUUUUGACAGAGAAUAUUUGUUAGAGAAGUGUCUAUACAUGAUCUUUUUAAAAAAGAGUUCAACUGAGAAAUCAAUCCCCUUUACAAAUUAAUCUUUAGUUUCCAACAAUUAAAUAAAUGUAUACUAAUGGUAGUAGGGUGAGGAACUGAGUGAAGGGGUAUCAUACAUUAAACAUGAGUAUUUUUAUUUCUAAUAUAAAAACAUAAAAAAAUUUACCUGAUAUUCUUCAGCUGUACAUUUGUGUUGUAUGUUACAUUUAUUUACAUGAAAUUUAGACUAUACAGUGUAAGUUAUGACUGUUUAUGGUUUGACUCAAAAUUGUGAAGACUGGCAUGGUCGAUCAAGUCACUCUGUCUGCCUAAAUGAGGAAAUAGCUUUAUCAAAUGCCCUUUUAAUAAUUCUCACAUGUGGAGAGGGGUUUCUUUGCAAAAGGGAAGCAAAUCAAUAUCCAAAAUAUCUCUCCCUAUUCUAUACAUCUAUGUAUCUAUGUAAGUACAUAUGUAUAUACAUAUAUAUAUGUAUGUAUGUAUCAGUCAUCUUCCUUUAAUCUCAUGUGUAAAUGGAAGAUCAUUUUUUACCAAUAUUGAUAUUAAAAUUAUUUGUUGACAUAACAGACUAUUUUCCAUUCUUUAAUGAAGACUAACAUAAAGGUUAUAUUUAAGCAAAUAUAAAGAGUAUGUCUACACAUCUAUGUAGGUGUCAAAUCUGAGUCUUGAGUAAUAUGCUGCCGCUAUACAUUGCAAAAAGUUUUAAAGUUAAAAUAAUAUAAAAAUGAAUAUCAACAAAAGCCAGGGAUAUAUAUCUUAUUUUUCUGUGUUUCUUCCUAAAAAUUAUAAAUCAUGAAUCAAAGGAAGACCAGAGAUCUUGGGAAAGAUGAGAUUAAAAAUAAAAUAGGAUUCAAAGAACAAUACCACGUGUGACAUGAAUAUAUUUUUUUAAGCCUCCAUACCUUUUACCUAUCUUGUUUUGAAUUUCAGAAUUUACUCUCUUCAUCCUUAUACAUUGUCUCAAAGUAACCAUAUGGUGAAAGUUCCUAAGGUAAGAAAUAUUCCAAACUAGUCUGCAUAAAGAAGCAUCUACUUAACAGCUUUCUUUUUCUAAAGGGAAAAUAUACUACAAAUUAAUACAUAGCUCACACAAUUUGUAACACAUCCAUGCUCUCUCCCUGUUUCCUACUUCAAGAGAGAAAUCUAAACAAAGAUUUCCACAGCACAAUGAAAGAGACAGAUUAAAAAAAUCUUACUUUUCUCCAAAUACUCCACACAAAACAAAACAUAAAAACAAGUACAGCACUUUUCUUCUUUUGGCAAAAGUAAACACAUAUUUAUACAUAAUUUUUCUUUUCCAUUCAAUAUUGACAUGGAAUGUGAAGCUACAUAUAUAGUGAAUUCACUUGUAUUUAUACAGCUCACCUCUUAUCAUUUGAAGUGGAUAUGCAAGUGGAUAUUUUUUUCAAAAUUAGCCUUUUCCAAACAUACUGUCUUAAGAUAUGGAAUUCAAAAAGUAUUUUUCAGCAUAUAAAUAUUACUUUCAGGUCAUUUACUUAUGGUAAUUUUUGAUUAGCCUGGAUUUAAGAAUAUCAUUAUUCAAAGAAAGAGUGUGCAGGAAGGCAGGAAAGCAGAGAUUGUUUUGAUACUCAUCUGUUCUAGGACUAAUUGAAGUUAAAUUUAGCAAAAGUGCAUAUACUUGAGUUAAGUAUAUCUCCAAUUUGCAACUCACUUUUCACAUUGUUUUUACUGUAAAAAUUUUAAAAAUGAAAUAAAACAAUUCUACAUAUCAAUAUAUUUUUAGUAAUUCAUAAACCUAUUAAUAAUUCAUUUGCUAUGGUAAAUGGUAGUAUGAAAGUAUAGUAUAUAGAAUAUAUAGACCAUGCAACUGAGGAAUACCAACAUCUAAAGUAUUCUAUUGAAUACAGAGCAGACUGAGAAAAAAAAAAAGUCCAAUAUCCUAUCAUCAUAAUCCUCAAAGCAUAGUGUUACAAAAGAGUAGAAUUCACAUUGGGCAAUGUUCCUUUAAUUUUAGGACUGUAUGCUCUUCUGGAAAUGAAAACUUAUCCUGAUCCCUCAUUCUUUAGGUCUAAACGAAAACUUCAAAGUGUAGCUUAUUACUGAAGUUAACAAGACUAGAAACUAUACACCUUACUAAUUGCAAUUCCUUGUGUUAUCAUGGCAGUUGUUGACAACAAAGGUUAGGGAAGCAAUUUGAAUACUUUAAAACUAAGUCCAUUUGUUUGUAUAUUUUGGAGAUUAGGCCAAUAUCUGUUGCAUUGUUGUCAAGGAUUUUCUCCCAUUUUGUGGGUUUUCUUUUCAUUUUUUAAUGGUAUCCUUUGCUGUGCAAAACUUCUGAGUUUAAUUAUGUCCCACUUGUUUAUUUGUGUCUUUAUUGUCACUCUUCUAGGAGGUGGAUCACACAAGAUGUUACUGUGAUUAAUGUCAAAGAACAUUCAGCCUAUGUUUUCCUCCUGGAAUUUUAUAGUACCUGGCCUUAUAUUUAGGUCUUUAAUCCAUUGUGAGUUUAUUUUUGUAUGGUGGUAGAUAGUGCUCUACUUUCAUUCUUUUAUAUGUAGCUUUCAAAAUUUCCCAGCACUACAUAUUGAAGAAACUAUCUUUCUCCCACUGUAUGUUAUUUCCUUCAUUGUCAUAGAUUAGUUGACCACAGGUGCUUGGGUUUACUUCUGGGCUUUCUAUCCUGCUCCAUUGAUCUAUAUUUCUGUUUUUGUGCCAGUGCACAUUGUUUUGAUGACUGUAGAUUUGUAGUAUUGUCUAAAGUGAGGAAGCUUGAUUCCCCCAUUUUCAUUUUUCUUUUGCAACUCAACAACAAAAAACAGAAAACCCAAUUUAAAAAUGGACAGAAUAUCUAAAUAGAAAUUUCUUCAAAGAAGACAUACAGAUGGCCAACAAGCAUAUGAAAAAAUGCUCAACAUCACAAAUAAUUAGAGAAAUGGAAAUCAAAACUACCAUGAGAUACCAGCUCAUAGCAGUCAGAAUGGCCAUAAUUAACAAGUCAACAAAUAAGAAAUGCUGGAGAGGGUAUGGGAUAAAGGAACCCUCCUAUGCUGUUGGUGGGAAUGUAAAUUGGUAAAACCACUAUGGAAAACAGGAUGGAGGUACCUCAGAAAACUAUACAUAGAACUACUAUAUGAUCCAGCAAUCCCACUGCUGGGCA
ensembl:lncRNA